GACGUAGGGCGCGAGCGUUGUCCGGAUUUAUUGGGCGUAAAGAGCUCGUAGGCGGCUUGUCGCGUCGUUCGUGAAAACUUGGGGCUCAACCCCAAGCUUGCGGUCGAUACGGGCAGGCUAGAGUUCGGUAGGGGAGACUGGAAUUCCUGGUGUAGCGGUGAAAUGCGCAGAUAUCAGGAAGAACACCCGUGGCGAAAGCGGCUCUCUGGAACGGUACUGACGCUGAGACGCGAAAGCGUGGGGAGCGAACAGG
rnacentral:rRNA from 1 species